rfam:Triticum aestivum genome assembly, contig: Triticum_aestivum_CS42_TGACv1_scaffold_001670_1AL
AUCCUACUCGCUCCGUCCGUAAUUACUUGUUACGAAAAUGAAUAAAAACGGAUGUAUCUAGAACUAAAAUACGUCUAGAUACAUCUAUUUUUGGGACAAGUAUUUCCGGACGAAGGGAGUACCUG